rnacentral:rRNA from 1 species
UACGUAGGGUGCAAGCGUUAAUCGGAAUUACUGGGCGUAAAGCGUGCGCAGGCGGUCUUGUAAGUUUGUCGUGAAAGCCCCGGGCUCAACCUGGGAAUGGCGAUGAAGACUGCAAGGCUAGAAUCUGGCAGAGGGGGGUAGAAUUCCACGUGUAGCAGUGAAAUGCGUAGAGAUGUGGAGGAACACCGAUGGCGAAGGCAGCCCCCUGGGUCAAGAUUGACGCUCAUGCACGAAAGCGUGGGGAGCAAACAGG